AACUUUUGACAACGGAUCUCUUGGCUCUCGCAUCGAGGAAGAACGCAGCGAAAUGCGAUAAGUAAUGUGAAUUGCAGAUUUUCAGUGAAUCAUCGAAUCUUUGAACGCACCUUGCGCUCCUUGGUAUUCCGAGGAGCAUGCCUGUUUGAGCGUCAUCAAAUUCUAAACUCCAAGGGUUUCAGGACCUUUUGGAGGUUGGUCUUGGUGGUGCCGGCCGCUUAGAUGGUCAGCCCCGCUCAAAUGCAUCAGCGGAAUUCAACCUUUGGCUUCCGGACGUCAGUGUGAUAAUCAUGUUGCGCUGUCGUUUGAUCCUCAGAGUCCGCUUAUAAUGGUCUUUGGACAAAUCAUCACCACAUUUGACCUCAAAUCAGGUAGGACUACCCGCUGAACUUAAGCAUAUCAAUAAGCGGAGGCU
rnacentral:misc_RNA from 1 species